ACGAACGCUGGCGGCGUGCUUAACACCUGCACGUCGAACGGAAAGGCCCUGCUUUUGUGGGGUGCUCGAGUGGCGAACGGGUGAGUAACACGUGAGUAACCUGCCCUUGACUUUGGGAUAACUUCAGGAAACUGGGGCUAAUACCGGAUAGGAGCUCCUGCUGCAUGGUGGGGGUUGGAAAGUUUCGGCGGUUGGGGAUGGACUCGCGGCUUAUCAGCUUGUUGGUGGGGUAGUGGCUUACCAAGGCUUUGACGGGUAGCCGGCCUGAGAGGGUGACCGGCCACAUUGGGACUGAGAUACGGCCCAGACUCCUACGGGAGGCAGCAGUGGGGAAUAUUGCACAAUGGGCGGAAGCCUGAUGCAGCAACGCCGCGUGCGGGAUGACGGCCUUCGGGUUGUAAACCGCUUUCGCCUGUGACGAAGCGUGAGUGACGGUAAUGGGUAAAGAAGCACCGGCUAACUACGUG
rnacentral:rRNA from 1 species